AGAUACCUGCAUAUGGCCCCUUUAAAGAACGGCAGCCAAUCCUUAACCUUUGAGCAAUGGCCUUCCAUUUCCCAAAGCCCCUCUCAGUAAAUGUUGGCCUUUUCUCCUGGGGCCAGAUGGGGAACCCUCUUACUUAGACCUUGGGAAUAUAUGGGAACUACAUUUCCCAGAACGCCCUGCGUUGAAGGCAGCGUCGCUGAGCCAAUGAAGGCUUAGAAAAGAGGUUUCCCAUUCCCCAAAGGGUGAGGGUGGGGCUUCCGGCGUCCGGCUGGCUUCUUGCUGAUUUCUUCACCGCGUGGGAGGUUGCGGAGGGCGAGGUCGGAGGCUAAAGGAGGCUUUGUCCCCACUGUAAGGAGGUGGGUCUAGUGUCGGGCACAUUCACUGCCUGCUACGCCGGCCUGGAAACCUUGGUGCCCGGGACUGACCGGGUCGCUCAGCUGUCAUCACUUCACUCCGCCCCCCGAGUCCGAUGGGGGCAGUCGCGCCCAGGGCCCAGGCGCAGAGUGAACAGAGUACUCCUACAUAUCAUGAACCAAGAAUUGGACUCUUCACACAACUCUCGAGCACUGAGAUAACAUUUGUAACUGGCACCGUCAAGUCUGCCUGUAACUAAGAAAUGUUGCAGGCCACAGCACUCCCUUUGCUUCAUAACUACCUUAAAACCCUCUAAAGAACCCCUGGGCCAGGCAGAAACCUCAGAAUUGGCUUUGGGACAAGAGUCCACUUUCUCUGCAGGUUGCCAGCCUCCUAAAUAAAACUCAAAUUCUUAUCCAAUCGAAA